UAAGUAGGGUGCGAGCGUUAAUCGGAAUUACUGGGCGUAAAGCGUGCGCAGGCGGUUCGUUAUGUCCGAUGUGAAAGCCCCGAGCUCAACUUGGGAAUGGCAUUGGAAACGGGCGGGCUGGAGUGUGGCAGAGGGGGGUGGAAUUCCACGUGUAGCAGUGGAAUGCGUAGAGAUGUGGAGGAACACCGAUGGCGAAGGCAGCCCCCUGGGCCAACACUGACGCUCAGGCACGAAAGCGUGGGGAGCAAACAGG
rnacentral:rRNA from 1 species